UGGGGGAUAUUGCACAAUGGGGGAAACCCUGAUGCAGCGACGCCGCGUGAGUGAAGAAGCAUUUCGGUGUGUAAAGCUCUAUCAGCAGGGAAGAAGAAUGACGGUACCUGACUAAGAAGCCCCGGCUAACUACGUGCCAGCAGCCGCGGUAAUACGUAGGGGGCAAGCGUUAUCCGGAUUUACUGGGUGUAAAGGGAGCGUAGACGGCAAUGCAAGCCAGAUGUGAAAACCCGCAGCUCAACUGGGGGAGUGCAUUUGGAACUGUGUAGCUGGAGUGCAGGAGAGGUAAGCGGAAUUCCUGGUGUAGCGGUGAAAUGCGUAGAUAUCAGGAGGAACACCAGUGGCGAAGGCGGCUUACUGGACUGUAACUGACGUUGAGGCUCGAAAGCGUGGGGAGCAAACAG
rnacentral:rRNA from 1 species